rnacentral:lncRNA from 10 species
AAAAAGUCAGCGCUGUUCUUUAUUAUCAGCGUCUGGUGGGUGAAGUGGAGAGGUUAUGGCACAAUGUAUUCAGCAUUUGUUUUUAUCAGUCACUGCUUCUGCUCUCUUGAGCUGUAUUGCUUUUAUCGCUUUCCAGAAUGAUGAAUAUUGUUAAUUUUUUUUUGCCAGGAGCCCCCACCUCUACUGCCAGUUCACAUGGCUGUCAAACAGAUGCUAUAUUACCCAUACUCCACAUCUUCCUGGUCCAUUGGCAGAGGCUGGACAUUGGGAACCUUUCCUGAGGGUCUCCCUCUCUUGCCCAGGCUGGAGUGCAAGAUCAUGGCUUACUAUAGCCUCAACCUUCCAGGCUCAAGCAAUCCUCCUACAUCAGCCCCCUGAGUAGCUGGGACUACAGGCACAAGCCACCGUGCUCAGCUAUUUUUAUCCUUUUUCUUUUCUUUUUUUUUUUUCUUUUCUAUAGCUAUGGGAUCUCACUCCUUUUUAUUUUAUACAUUGUAAAACCGAAGCUCAGAAGAGGUAAUUCAAUCUCCAAAGUCACAAAAGAGAUAGCGAUGAAGUUAAGAUAAAAAUCCAGUUUGGUUUGGCAUCCGAUUCAAGAACUGUUCUUAGGAGAUGCCUUAGUAUGCUAUUCCUCACUCCAACCCUCCACUUAAAUCUCCCUUUAAGACAGACAAUCCGAAUAACUCAGCUACUUAAUCACUUGGUCCAAAGCCCACAGUUCCUCAUUCAGUCUUCUAAGAGCACUAGCAGCAGAGUGAUUCUGCUGCCCUCUUGCUUUGGGUUGAAUGUUUGUUCUCCCCAAAAGAUGUUGAAGCCUAAUCUCUCAUGUGACAAAAUUAGAAGGUGGGGAUUUGGGGAUGUGAUUAGGUCGUGAGGGCAGAGACCUUAUAAUUGAAUUGGUGUGUUGUGAGAGAGGCCCCAGUGGGCUGCCUCUCCCUGUCUACCAUGUGAGGAUGCAGCAAGAAGGAGCCAUCGAUGAACCAGGAAGGAGCCAUCGAUGAACCAGGAAGGAGCCAUCGAUGAACCAGGAAGUGGACCUCACCAGAAGCUGAAUCUGCCAGCACCUUGACCUUGGCCGUCCCAGCGUCCAGAACUGUGAGAAAUAAUUGUCUGUGGUUCUUAAGUCUCCAGUGAAUCAAACAGACUGACAGAAACUGGUACUGACAAGUAAGGUGUUAUAACAAAUACCUACAAAUGUGGAAGUGGCCAUGGAACUGGGUAGAGGCUGGAAGAGUUUGGAAGCCCACGGUAGAAAAAGCCUACACUGCUGCCAACAAACCACUAAGGGUGAUUCUGAUGAGGACUCGGGAGAGGAAAAGAGGAGAGUUGCAGAGAAAGCCUCCAUCUUCUUAGAGAAAACCUAAGUGGUUGUGAACAGCAUGCUGUUAGAAAUAUAGAUGAGAAAAACUGCUGUGAUGAAGUCUCAGGUGGAAAUGAAGAAUACGCUCCUGGAAAACAGAGAGACGCUAAAUAUCCUCAGCUGUACUCUGGUCAUGUCCUAGUGUUUUGUGGAAGGUAGAACUCGUGAAGGAUGAAAUGGGGUAUUUGGCUGAGGAAAUACCUCAGCAAAGUGUUGGAUGAGUGGGCUGGUUCCUCCUGACUGCUUAAUAGUAAAAGUGAGGAGAGAUAAAUAAUUUAAAGAUGGAACUUAAUCAUAAGGGAAGCAGAGCUUAAAAGAUUUGGUAUAUUUUCAGCCUAUUCAUAUUGUAAAGACUGAGAAAGGAUGUUCAGGUCAAGGGUGUGACCAACAGACUGUUUGAUAAGAUUAGUCAGCCACCUCAGCAGAAGUCAGAGGCUAAGUCGCACAGGUGCCAGUGGCCCCUCAUUCAGUUCUUCCAUUGUGUAAGACAUCAUCUAAGACAACAGAAGAACAUAAAUGAGGGCCAUUGGUGCCUGUGGGACUUUAGUAUCUCCUGACCACCUGUGCCUCACAUAGAAGGCUGUACUCCCUGACUCCUGUGCUGCACUCCUCAGCUACCCCAGGUACCACUCUCGACGGGCCCUGGUCCCCAGCAGAGCCAUGAGAGCACAGCUGUAUCCCCCAAGAUUUCAAAAGACAAAGCUGUAGGCUUGAUAUCCCAGCCUCGGAGAGCUGUGCAGCCCAGGCAUAGAGCUGCUGUAGGCCGAGCUGUGAGGAUGCAGCUCCCCAAAGCCAUGGGGGCCCAACCCAUGAGCAGCAAAGCUGCAGGGGCAGGAUCCCCAUUCCAGUGAUUCCAGAAGGCAGGAACCCCGACCACAUGAGUCCAGGAGAUGGGACCCGGGGCAGUCUGUCCAGAAGGCAGGACCCCCAACAACAUGUGUCCAGGAGGUGGGACCCCGGGCAGUCUGUCCAGAAGGCAGGACCUCCACUCCAGUGGGCCUAAGGAGCAGAGCAUCAAGUCAAAGAUUAUUCAUGAGUGUUAAGGUUUAUUGUUGUUUGCUCUGAUGGGUUUUGGACUUUUUUGAGACCUGUAACUCCUUUCUUUCCUUUUCUCCCUUUUGAAAUGGAUGUGCCUGUCCUAAGCCUGUCCCACCAGUGUACUUUGAAAGUACAUGACUUCUUUUGGUUCACAGACUCACAGCUGGAGAGGAAUUGUCCUUGGAAUUAAUUGUACAUUGAGCUUUAUCCAUUAUCUGAUUUAGAUGAUGUUUAGAUGAAACUCUGGACUUUAGACUUUUGAGUUGGUGCUGGAAUAAGUUAACAUUUUGAGGUUGCUGAGAUUGAAUGAAUGCAUUUGGCAUGUGAAAAGGACAUAAGUCUGGGGAGCCCAGGUGUGGAAUGCUAUGGACUAAAUGUUUGCAUCCUUCUAUUAACUCAUAUGUUAAAGCCUAAUCCCCUAUGUGAUAAUAUUUGGAGGUUGGCUCUUGAGAAAUAAUUAGGUCAUGAGUGCAGAGCCCUCGAGAAUGGGAUUAAUGUCCUUAUAAAAAAGAAGAGAAUUCCCUCAACCUUUCUAUCAUGUGAAGAAACAGCGAGAAGCUGCAAUCUAUAGCAAUGAAGCAAGCCAUCACCACACUGACUACCAGCACCUUGAUCUUGGACUUCUGAGCCUCUCACAUCUCUAUGUGAGAAAAACAUUUCUGUCGUUUAUAAGAUACCAAAUCUACAGUAUUUUGUUGUAACAGCCAGAAUGGACUAAGGCACCUCCCACAAUAAUUUGUGGUAAUUAAUGUUCUAACCAGACUUUGUUCCUGGGUGUGUGAAUCUUUAUUUUGGACCUUUAAAAAAAGGUAUUUUGUUUAAUUCAUGUUCUAACGAGAAAUGUGGUACAUAAGUCAUGUGUGUGGGGCAUUCAUGUAGUGUGUGAAGUCUGUAGUGUGUAUAUAUAUGUAUAUGUAUAUGCAUGUACAUACAUAUAUGUCUGCAGCCUGUGUGUGUAUAUGUGUGUGUAUACACAUACAUACUACAGAUUGCCACACACACAGUUUAAUAGUUUUGAGGUAGCCUGUGUUCAUCUGAAAUUGAGAUACAAUAUCUUUAUAGCAACAAAUUAUAUAUGUCCAUCUAUGAACACAAGGUAUAUGUACAGAUAAGCAAACACUUGUUAACAUGUACAAUUAAUAAUUACCAAUCAAAUUUGGCAAGUGAUUACUUGGUGCCAAGCACCAUCCAAAUGAUUUGCUGGGUAAUAUCCCAGUCAAUCCACCCUAAGGCUGUGAGGUAGACACUACAGUGAUUUGCCUAACUUUGAGAAACCAUGAAAUCAAGGCAUACGUGUAAGCGUAGCCAGAGUUCAACGUGGUAAGAAAUGAAGUCUAGAUCCUCUAAGUCUUGUCCCUUCCUGCCUACCUGCCUUCUCCUUCUCAAUUUAUCCAAGGGGGCACACACCGUCAAUACUGGUUUCUCUGCUCAUAUGUCAUUUGCAUGAUUCUGUUGCACUGGGUGAGUCCUAACUGCCAAAAUAAGAUUUUUUGUUUACUCUGAAUUGAUUCAGUAAAUAAAGUAAAUGUAGAUUUUCCCCCAUUUUUAAGUUACUCUGAAGGAAGAAUUCUUUUUACAAUACCUCUGUCCUAUUAUGUUAAGUGAAAUAAGCCAGGCAUGGAAAGAGAAAUACCAUACGAUCUCACUUGUAUGGAGAAUGGAAUCUAACAAGCUCCAACUCUUAGAAGCAGAGAGUAGAAUGGUGCUUACUCAGGGCUAGAGGGUGGGGUGGGAAGGGUAGGAAUGAGGAGCUGGUCAAAGGAUAAAACAUUUCAGAAUGACAGGAAGAAUAACUUUUGGAAUCUAGUCCGCAGCAGAGUGACUAUAUAGUCAAUAAAAAUGUGUUGCAUACUUAAAUAUAACUAAGGGUGAAUUUCAAAUGUCUCUCUACAAAAAAUGACAGGUAAGCAAGGUGAUGACCAUAUUAAUUAGCUUGAUUUAAUCAUUCCCUUGUAUACCUAGACCAAAACAGUGUUGUACCCCAUAAAUGUAUAUAAUUAUGUUUUGUAAAUUAAACCUAACAUUAAAAAUAUACCUUUGUUUUAAAGGUUCAAAAUAAGGAUUCACACACCUAGGAAAAAAUGUCAUUAUGGAAACAUAUAUAAUAAUUUGGGGAAAUAAAGUGUAAACUUACAGGUAAUGAUGAGACUGCCCAAAGAGGCUAAAUAAAGUCAAUGCAACCAGAACUGGUGUGACUUAGGGGUGAGUGCCCUGAAGACUUGCUAUCUGAGCAAAAUUAAAGGAUGACAGGAAGAGGGGCAGGUCUGGGACUGGCCAGGGAAAGGCAGUGGGACAUAACUGGUGUAAUACACAGACCCAAAUGGCUGGCUGGGGAGGACUUUACACUGGUUUCUAUAAGAAUAAGCAUCUUUAUACUUGUGUUGAUAUUUUGACAUGUUCAAAAAAACCGUAAUUAAUGGAAUGAAUUGUUCAGUUAUGUCACUUUUGGAUAACAUGAUGGUCAGUGUUUCCCUCAACAACAAGUACACCACAUUUAUUUUAGACCAACUUACUGAUUGUCUAUUCCAAUAGAAUUGUUAGUAGAUUUUUUUUAACAUGAGUCAGUACCUAUUUUUCAGUUUUCUCAA